AAUCACAUUCGCAAUGUUGUGAUUUUCUACCUGUGUUAUUGUAUAAUCCAUUCCACUUACGUUUUAAGAAGAUGAGAAGACCAAAGUGGAAAAGGAUAAACAGCAGACGAUCGGCCUAAGCCCAUCACAGAAAAUUAUUAGAGAAUUCAAGAAGAAUGAAAUGAACAAGUAUGGCAUAUUACCAGGAGGUCCGAACUCAAGACAUCGAGUAUGGCAGGUGAGUUUGGACUUUUGCAGAUUCAUAUAUGCCAUGCCUGGCCAUAUAUCAUUUCCUUUGAUGUCAUAUCCUGGACUGUGAAUCAUUUCUCAAUUUCCUUUGGGUUUACAGUUUCUACUUAUCUUUAUAAUACACAUAGAAUCUGUUCAAGGACAAUAGAUGUUCUCUCAACUCUGAUGCUUUGUAUAUCAAAUCUCCUCAAUCACAGCAGUUUUAUGUCCACAUUUUUUCAUGGCUUCUCUUGAAAAUCAUUGGGAGCUUCUUAGCAUAUUUCCAAACUUUCCCUCAGAAACUGGUCUGAAUAUUCUGCUAGUUAUAUUCUUAAGUUUGUUAUUGUUGUCUCAGCACUACAGUUGACGUGAUCUUCCUUUUGAUAUAGAUUGGCAUGUCUUGUAUACAACGCAGUUAACUCAAAAGUCAAAGAAAUAUCAUGAUGGCUUCUUACGUUCUACAAGCAGUGGACCUAUUACUAGGCAGGUCAAGCUCUACAGUCUACGUCUCCUACUGAUCAUUAACCUCGGACAGUACCAGCUUUCUUCUUGCUGAAUUAUCGUCUCUUCCUUCCUUUAUUAGCUGGUUUUCUUCUUCAUGGUUUGUGCACUUCUCAUCAUGCCAGUGAGAAACUUUUAUCAGGAUAAAUAUGGCUCAGAGGAUUGGAAACCUUUUUAAUGGGGGUUUUUCCAGGUUUUUUUGGAUGAUACGAGCUGGAAACUUUUAGAUGGCAGGUUCCCGAACAAAGCUGAAGAAGUGGGCCCUGGGAAGAUUAUGGAAUUUCCCGGUCAUGUGGUUGAAGUUGGCAACUGUGAAGUCAACCGUGAAUCUUUAAGGGAUCUAAAUGCAUGUGGAAACAGCUUCAGUUCUCUUCACAAAUUCAUUAUGCAAAAGCAGCGGCAUAAUGUUACUACUGUUAAUUCUGCUGCAAAAG